CUUUCACUAUCCUUGGAGUCCUGCAAGGUGACUGCAUCUGAAAUCAGGAAGCUUCAGUCAACUGCCCUUCCCAAUUUGGUAAGCUUUCGACCUGAAUAGUUUGGGAACUGCUGAAAAAUACUUUGUAAAUUUCUGCUUUAUACUUGAAUAAUUUCAAAACAGUCGAAAAAUACUUUGUAAAUUCUUGCUAUCAGCCCAGGAUAGCUUUGUUUAUCUAUUGUGUAUCUAUCUAUCUAAAACCCUCUUCAGUACUGUACAUACCGCAUAGCAGAAAUAAAAUAUGGAUGGAUGU
rnacentral:lncRNA from 1 species